rnacentral:lncRNA from 1 species
UGAAGGGCUGUUCAGUAAAAGAGCACGAAUUUUAGGGGCCUGUUAUUAUAUUAGAAAUUUAUCAGAAGCAUAGCAAUAUUUAAUAUACUUUUCUCCCUACAGCACUCCAUGGAGUAGGAAAAUGUAAUAUCACGACUACUUAUUAUGAAGACGACUAUGUAUUAUGAAGAAAGGCAGCUAAAUUUCUUUGAAAGCUCUGGCCCAAGAUCUUUGAAGUAACCUUGGAGCAGAUAAUUGAAAUAAUGUCAUUUAAAUCCCAGGUGACAAAAAGAAGAAGGAACAAGAAUGUAUCUGAUGGAUUCAGACUGCUGAUGAACCCUGAUUCCUUUGGUGUUAUUUUGGAUAUCCAGUGGUCUGGACACAAAUAAAAU